rnacentral:rRNA from 1 species
UGAGUAACACGUAUCCAACCUGCCGUCUACUCUUGGCCAGCCUUCUGAAAGGAAGAUUAAUCCAGGAUGGCAUCAUGAGUUCACAUGUCCGCAUGAUUAAAGGUAUUUUCCGGUAGACGAUGGGGAUGCGUUCCAUUAGAUAGUAGGCGGGGUAACGGCCCACCUAGUCAACGAUGGAUAGGGGUUCUGAGAGGAAGGUCCCCCACAUUGGAACUGAGACACAGUCCAA